rnacentral:rRNA from 1 species
CGGACCUCCAAUCAGUCAAGACUACCCGCUGAAUUUAAGCAUAU